rnacentral:rRNA from 1 species
GUAGUUAGCCGGGGCUUCCUCCUCAGGUACCGUCAUUUGUUUCGUCCCUGAGGACAGAAGUUUACAAUCCGAAAACCUUCUUCCUUCACGCGGCGUUGCUGGGUCAGGGUUUCCCCCAUUGCCCAAUAUUCCCCACUGCUGCCUCCCGUAGGAGUCUGGGCCGUGUCUCAGUCCCAGUGUGGCCGUUCAGCCUCUCAGCUCGGCUACCCAUCGUCGGCUUGGUGCGCCGUUACCGCACCAACUACCUAAUGGGACGCGAGUCCAUCUUAAAGCGCCUCAGCUUUGACCCCUUUGCCAUGCGGCAUUGUGGUCUUAUGCGGUAUUAGCAACGAUUUCUCGUUGUUAUCCCCCUCUUCAAGGCAGGUUACUCACGCGUUACUCACCCGUCCGCCACUAAUCCCGAAGGAUCCGUUCGACUUGCAUGUGUUAAGCCUGCCGCCAGCGUUCGCUCUGAGCCAGGAUCAAACUCUGA